GUAUUUUCACUCUCAGACUCUUUUUCCAUGUCAGUUCCACUCAUUUCUUUUUGUCUUUCUCUCUCACCAACACACUAUUACAACCGAGGACAACAAUAAACUUUACUUUGUUCUCUCUCUUUCCCCUCAAACCCUACCUCUGUCGCCGCCCCUUCUCCUCCCUAUUUGCAACUACUAUCACCUCUAAUCGAAAAACCAAAACCAUUUUUGUAUUCAUCAUCCGACAACAUUUCUAAUGAACAUAUUAUAUUUUUGUUUCGAGCAAUACUGGCUUUGGAGGUGUUUUUGUUAUGAUCAAAUGCGUCCACAUUCAUCAACAAUUAUAGGCCUUGCUGACAUUGAUUUUGUGGCCGUCGAUGCCGGAGACGAAGAUAUAGAUCCAAAUUUGAAAUCAUAGGAUGCGUGAGGACUAAUCUGAUGUGUUAUUUUCAAAUCUGGCAAUAUAUGAUGCCUCAAAGAUGGAACGCAUUCGGCAGGUAAGAUUUUUCUCUCCAUAUUCGUAGAGAAUUGCUGGUUGUUAAUGAAAUUGGAAUUGAAAUCUACUCAUAAAUGCUUUUGCUGUAGUGGAUACCCCAAGAUGUUCUGCCUGCUCCCAUAUCAUAUGCGGCAUAUUCCUGCGACAGUCAGUUAAGAUGGAACACAUUCGACAGUGAGACAUGCAGUGAAAAUUAUGUGUCUGCUUAUCUUAAUAGACCAGAUGUUCAAGAGGCUAUUCAUGCUAAUGUCACAAAACUCAAAUAUGAAUGGAGUCCAUGCAGUGGUCCCAUUAGAAAAUGGGUUGAUAGCACUCCAACAAUCCUUCCUCUUUUACAUGAGUUUCUCAAUAAGGGCCUCAGAGUUUGGAUUUUCAGCGGUCAUACAGAUGGAAGGGUUCAUGUUACUUCGAUUAAGUAUUCGAUUAAGAAGAUGAACCUUCUGGUUAAAUCUGUUUGGCCCCCUUGGUUAGCCUAUGGAGAUGUUGGUGGCUAUAGUGAAGUAUAGAAGGGAGGCCUAACAUUUGUUACAGUGAGAAAUGCAGGACAUUAAGUGCCAAUAGAAGGGCAACACACGUUUGUCAGUGCCAGCACCUUAACGGUGAAGACUUUGAUAGAUGUGUCGAUUGAAUCAAAUAAGCAGCAAGCUACAAGAUUAUUCAGCGGUGGAAAUAGUGAUGCUAUGUAUUUUGAAGAUCCAAAGUGGAGCCAAUUUGGUAACUCUUUGCAUGGCUGAUUGUUAUAGCUUGAUCAAGUAAAAGGAAGCCAUACAUCUACUUCUGAAUCAGGGUCAGAAGCUAAAGAUAUAGCUUCUCCAAAAGCAAGGAAUGGCUAUUCAAUAAAGGACAUGCUUUUAGUUGAUUAAGAAUAAAGAGUCAGCAGCAAGAUUUAGAUCUACUUAUAUCUAAGGGCUAUUCAAUAAAGAAUAGAGAGUCAGCAGCAAGAAUAUUAUAAUGUCGUUUUUGCUUCAGCUUCUAGACGCGGGCAAGAUGGUACUGAGUAGAAGUACUUUUUAGGUUUAAUUGCUCUAUAACACUCUGAACUGUUUGAAUAUUUUUAAAAAGGUCGUCGAACUAAAAAAUAUAUAAUUUCUCUAUUCAAUGAUUUGUUUGCUAGAAUCUCUUGUCUUCUCCACCUAGAGCUACUACUUCCCAUCACAGGAUCAAAAUUUUCAAAAAUAAAGUGUGGAUAUAUAAGACAGAAUUAUAUGUUUUUAAUUGCUCUAUUCAAUAUUUUUUUUAAAAAGGAACAUAAGAUUAAUAUACUAACUACAUUAUUUACUAUAUUGUUUUCUCUUUUGACCCAAAUUAAAGCACUCCUCUGACAAAAACAAAAAAAAAAAUCU